rnacentral:rRNA from 1 species
CCUACGGGUGGCAGCAGUGAGGAAUAUUGGUCAAUGGGCUUACGCCUGAACCAGCCAAGUCGCGUGAGGGAAGACUGCCCUAUGGGUUGUAAACCUCUUUUGUCAGGGAGCAACGCCGGCUACGUGUAGCCGUACUUCGAGUACCUGAAUAAAAAGCAUCGGCUAACUCCGUGCCAGCAGCCGCGGUAAUACGGAGGAUGCGAGCGUUAUCCGGAUUUAGUGGGUUUAAAGGGUGCGUAGGCGGAAUGCCAAGUCAGCGGUAAAAUCGCGGGGCUCAACCUCGCUCCGCCGUUGAAACUGGCGUUGUUGAGUGGGAGAGAAGUAUGCGGAAUGCGUGGUGUAGCGGUGAAAUGCAUAGAUAUCACGAAGAACUCCGAUUGCGAAGGCAGCAUACCGGUGCCCAACUGACGCUGAAGAACGAAAGCGUGGGUAUCGAACAGGAUUAGAUACCCCAGUAGUC